rnacentral:rRNA from 1 species
CUGGCUCAGGAUGAACGCUAGCGACAGGCUAACACAUGCAAGUCGAGGGGUAACAGGGUAGCAAUACCGCUGACGACCGGCGCACGGGUGAGUAACGCGUAUGCAACCUGCCUAGUAACUGGGGGAAUAGCUCCCUGAAAGGGGGAAUUAACACCGCAUAACACUAUUGAUUCGCAUGGAUUAGUAGUUAAAUGUAGCGAUACAGGUUAUAGAUGGGCAUGCGUGACAUUAGCUAGUUGGUGAGGUAACGGCUCACCAAGGCUACGAUGUCUAGGGGUUCUGAGAGGAAGGUCCCCCACACUGGUACUGAGACACGGACCAGACUCCUACGGGAGGCAGCAGUGAGGAAUAUUGGUCAAUGGGCGCAAGCCUGACGAUGCGACGCUGCCGUGGAGGAUGAAGGGCUUCGGCUCGUAAACUCCUGUCAUGGGGGAAAAAGCUCCCCGUUGUCAACAACGGCGGGGGUCGAUGGUACUCCAAGAGGAAGCCACGGCUAACUCUGUGCCAGCCGCCGC